AAGGCAUCUCUGUGAGAAUUCUGAAGA
rnacentral:piRNA from 1 species